GAUGAACGCUGGCGGCGUGCAUAACACAUUCGAGUCGAACGGAGGUAUUGGAGAGCUUGCUCAAAGAUAUCUUAGUGGCGGACGGGUGAGUAACGCGUGAGCAACCUGCCUCUGUGUGGGGGAUAACGACGGGAAACUGUCGCUAAUACCGCAUAAAGUGAGCGAGUCGCAUGGCUGAGGUUACCAAAGAUUUAUUGCACAGAGAUGGGCUCGCGUCUGAUUAGGUAGUUGGUGAGGCAACGGCUCACCAAGCCGACGAUCAGUAGCCGGACUGAGAGGUUGAACGGCCACAUUGGAACUGAGAAACGGUCCAGACUCCUACGGGAGGCAGCAGUGGGGAAUAUUGGGCAAUGGGCGAAAGCCUGACCCAGCGACGCCGCGUGAGGGAAGAAGGUCUUCGGAUUGUAAACCUCUGUUGACAGGGACGAAGUAUGACGGUACCUGUCGAGGAAGCCACGGCUAACUACGUGCCAGCAGCCGCCGUAAGAC
rnacentral:rRNA from 1 species